AAAUUGAAGAGUUUGAUCAUGGCUCAGAUUGAACGCUGGCGGCAGGCCUAACACAUGCAAGUCGAGCGGUAGCACAGAGAGCUUGCUCUCGGGUGACGAGCGGCGGACGGGUGAGUAAUGUCUGGGAAACUGCCUGAUGGAGGGGGAUAACUACUGGAAACGGUAGCUAAUACCGCAUAACGUCGCAAGACCAAAGUGGGGGACCUUCGGGCCUCAUGCCAUCAGAUGUGCCCAGAUGGGAUUAGCUGGUAGGUGGGGUAACGGCUCACCUAGGCGACGAUCCCUAGCUGGUCUGAGAGGAUGACCAGCCACACUGGAACUGAGACACGGUCCAGACUCCUACGGGAGGCAGCAGUGGGGAAUAUUGCACAAUGGGCGCAAGCCUGAUGCAGCCAUGCCGCGUGUGUGAAGAAGGCCUUCGGGUUGUAAAGCACUUUCAGCGGGGAGGAAGGCGGUGAGGUUAAUAACCUCAUCGAUUGACGUUACCCGCAGAAGAAGCACCGGCUAACUCCGUGCCAGCAGCCGCGGUAAUACGGAGGGUGCAAGCGUUAAUCGGAAUUACUGGGCGUAAAGCGCACGCAGGCGGUCUGUCAAGUCGGAUGUGAAAUCCCCGGGCUCAACCUGGGAACUGCAUUCGAAACUGGCAGGCUAGAGUCUUGUAGAGGGGGGUAGAAUUCCAGGUGUAGCGGUGAAAUGCGUAGAGAUCUGGAGGAAUACCGGUGGCGAAGGCGGCCCCCUGGACAAAGACUGACGCUCAGGUGCGAAAGCGUGGGGAGCAAACAGGAUUAGAUACCCUGGUAGUCCACGCUGUAAACGAUGUCGAUUUGGAGGUUGUGCCCUUGAGGCGUGGCUUCCGGAGCUAACGCGUUAAAUCGACCGCCUGGGGAGUACGGCCGCAAGGUUAAAACUCAAAUGAAUUGACGGGGGCCCGCACAAGCGGUGGAGCAUGUGGUUUAAUUCGAUGCAACGCGAAGAACCUUACCUGGUCUUGACAUCCACAGAACUUUCCAGAGAUGGAUUGGUGCCUUCGGGAACUGUGAGACAGGUGCUGCAUGGCUGUCGUCAGCUCGUGUUGUGAAAUGUUGGGUUAAGUCCCGCAACGAGCGCAACCCUUAUCCUUUGUUGCCAGCGGU
rnacentral:rRNA from 1 species